CCCCGGGAGGGGAGUGAAAUAGAACCUGAAACCGUGUGCCUACAACCGCUCAGAGCCCCUUAUGAGGGUGAUGAGGUGCUUUUUGUAGAACGAGCCAACGAGUUACGGUAUGUAGCAAGGUUAAGUACUUAAGGUACGGAGCCGAAGGGAAACCGAGUCUGAAUGUUCAAGCGGUAGGAGAGCGUCGUAACCGGGCUGAAGUCGUACCGUAAGGAGCGGUGGACUGGUUACGAGUGAGAAUGUUGGCAUCAGUAGCGAGAUGUGGGUGAGAAUCCCACAGGCCGAAAACCUAAGGUUUCCUCAGGAAGGUUCGUCCGCUGAGGGUUAGUCGGGACCUAAGCCGAGGCCGAAAGGCGUAGGUGAUGGACAACUGGUUGAUAUUCCAGUACCACUACCAUCGUUAUUAUCGAUGGCGUGACGCAGGAGGAUAGUGUGUGCUAGCUAUUGGAUGCUAGUCUAAGCGUUUAGGCAGUGAGAGUAGGCAAAUCCGCUCUCAUAAUGCUGAGGCGUGAUGGGGAAGGUUCUACGGAACCGAAGUACAUGAUUCCACGCUGCCAAGAAAAGCGUCUAGAGAGAGAAGUAGUGCCCGUACCGCAAACCGACACAGGUAGGUGAGGAGAGAAUCCUAAGGCCGGCGGAAGAAUUACAGUUAAGGAACUCGGCAAAUUGACCCCGUAAGUUCGCGAGAAGGGGUGCCUACGAGAGUAGGCCGCAGAGAAUAGGCCCAAGCAACUGUUUAGCAAAAACACAGGUCUCUGCUAAAGCGUAAGCUGAUGUAUAGGGGCUGACGCCUGCCCGGUGCUGGAAGGUUAAGGGGAACACUUAGCGCAAGCGAAGGUGUGAACUUAAGCCCCAGUAAACGGCGGCCGUAACUAUAACGGUCCUAAGGUAGCGAAAUUCCUUGUCAGGUAAGUUCUGACCCGCACGAAUGGCGUAAUGACUUGGGCACUGUCUCAACUGUAAAUCCGGCGAAGUUGUAGUGCGAGUGAAGAUGCUCGCUACCCGCGAUUGGACGGAAAGACCCCGUAGAGCUUUACUGUAGCUUAGCAUUGAGUUUUGGUAUUGUCUGUACAGGAUAGGUGGGAGACUAGGAAACCAGGGCGUCAGCCUUGGUGGAGUCAACCUUGGGAUACCACCCUGACAGUACUGAAAUUCUAACUGGCGGCCAUGAAUCUGGUCACAGGACAUUGUUAGGUGGGCAGUUUGACUGGGGCGGUCGCCUCCUAAAAAGUAACGGAGGCGCCCAAAGGUUCCCUCAGAACGGUCGGAAAUCGUUCGAAGAGUGCAAAGGCAGAAGGGAGCCUGACUGCGACACCCACAAGUGGAGCAGGGACGAAAGUCGGGCUUAGUGAUCCGGUGGUACCUCGUGGGAGGGCCAUCGCUCAACGGAUAAAAGCUACCUCGGGGAUAACAGGCUGAUCUCCCCCAAGAGUCCACAUCGACGGGGAGGUUUGGCACCUCGAUGUCGGCUCGUCGCAUCCUGGGGCUGAAGUAGGUCCCAAGGGUUGGGCUGUUCGCCCAUUAAAGCGGCACGCGAGCUGGGUUCAGAACGUCGUGAGACAGUUCGGUCCCUAUCCGUCGCGGGCGUAGGAAAUUUGAGAGGAGCUGUCCUUAGUACGAGAGGACCGGGAUGGACUGACCUCUGGUGUACCAGUUGUUCCGCCAGGAGCACAGCUGGGUAGCUAAGUCGGGAAUGGAUAAACGCUGAAAGCAUCUAAGCGUGAAGCCAACCUCAAGAUGAGAUUUCCCAUAGCGUAAGCUAGUAAGAUCCCUUGAAGAACACAAGGUUGAUAGGUCGGGGGUGUAAGCAUGGUAACAUGUUCAGCUGACCGAUACUAAUAGAUCGAGGGCUUGACCAAAU
rnacentral:rRNA from 1 species